AUUGGAUCACCGAUCGGGACUCAGAGGGACUAAUGUCACCAAAAAUACAGCAAGUUCUGAGCCCCGAACAAUAGUGCAGGCUCCCUAUAUAGGCACAUAACUCCUCCCAUAUUAAGCUCCACCCGCACAUUCUCUUGACCAAUCAUUAUAAAUAAGAAUUAACUUCCUGCUUGACCGCAUGGCUUGUCCAGCACAAUGGAGGAGGGGAAUACUACAUCCUGUAUUCUUGCACAUGCUCCGUACACUACUGAUCG